GUGGCAGCAGCCGCGGUAAUACGAAGGGACCUAGCGUAGUUCGGAAUUACUGGGCUUAAAGAGUUCGUAGGUGGUUAAAAAAGUUGGUGGUGAAAUCCCAGAGCUUAACUCUGGAACUGCCAUCAAAACNUUUUAGCUAGAGUAUGAUAGANGAAAGCAGAAUUUCUAGUGUAGAGGUGAAAUUCGUAGAUAUUAGAAAGAAUACCGAUUGCGAAGGCAGCUUUCUGGAUCAUUACUGACACUGAGGAACGAAAGCAUGGGUAGCGAAGAGGAUUAGAUACCCUCGUAGUCCAUGCCGUAAACGAUGUGUGUUAGACGUUGGAAAUUUAUUUUCAGUGUCGCAGCGAAAGCAAUAAACACACCGCCUGGGGAGUACGACCGCAAGGUUAAAACUCAAAUGAAUUGACGGGGACCCGCACAAGUAGUGGAGCAUGUGGUUUAAUUCGAAGAUACGCGCAGAACCUUACCAACACUUGACAUGUUCGUCGCGACUUUAAGAGAUUAAAGUUUUCGGUUCGGCCGGACGAAACACAGGUGCUGCAUGGCUGCCGUCAGCUCGUGUCGUGAGAUGUUGGGUUAAGUCCCGCAACGAGCGCAACCCUCACUUUUAGUUGCCAUCAUUUAGUUGGGCACUCUGAAAGAACUGCCAGUGAUAAGCUGGAGGAAGGUGGGGAUGACGUCAAGUCCUCAUGGCCCUUAUGUGUUGGGCUACACACGUGCUACAAUGGUAUCUACAACAGGAAGCAAGAUGGCAACAUUUAGCAAAUCCUAAAAAGAUAUCUCAGUUCGGAUUGCACUCUGCAACUCGAGUGCAUGAAGCUGGAAUUACUAGUAAUCGUGGAUCAGCGUGCCACGGUGAAUACGUUCCCGGGUCUUGCACACACUGCCCGUC
rnacentral:rRNA from 1 species